rnacentral:rRNA from 1 species
UACGGGGGGGGCUAGCGUUGUUCGGAAUUACUGGGCGUAAAGGGCUCGUAGGCGGCCAACUAAGUCAGACGUGAAAUCCCUCGGCUUAACCGGGGAACUGCGUCUGAUACUGGAUGGCUUGAGUUUGGGAGAGGGAUGCGGAAUUCCAGGUGUAGCGGUGAAAUGCGUAGAUAUCUGGAGGAAUACCGGUGGCGAAGGCGGCAUCCUGGACCGGCAUUGACGCUGAGGAGCGAAAGCCAGGGGAGCAAACGGG